UGACCAGACUCCUACGGGAGGCAGCAGUGAGGAAUAUUGGUCAAUGGGCGGAAGCCUGAACCAGCCAAGUCGCGUGAGGGAAUAAGGCCCUACGGGUCAUAAACCUCUUUUGCCGGGGAGCAAGGGCGGGGACGUGUCCCGGCCCGGAGAGUACCCGGAGACAAAGCAUCGGCUAACUCCGUGCCAGCAGCCGCGGUAAUACGGAGGAUGCGAGCGUUAAUCGGAAUUACUGGGCGUAAAGGGUGUGCAGGCGGUUUUGCAAGAUGGAUGUGAAAGCCCCGGGCUUAACCUGGGAAAGCCAUACAUGACUGCAAGACUAGAGUGCGUCAGAGGGGGGUGGAAUUCCAAGUGUAGCAGUGAAAUGCGUAGAUAUUGGGAAGAACACCGAUGGCGAAGGCAGCCCCCUGGGACGCAACUGACGCUCAUACACGAAAGCGUGGGGAGCAAACAGGAUUAGAUACCCGCGUA
rnacentral:rRNA from 1 species